rnacentral:rRNA from 1 species
GGCCGCGUUUUUGUUCAGCUUGGAGGGGAACCUCUAGGUGUACUCAAAUUCCAUGUGCCCGCCAGUCGUGAGCUUUUGGUGGCCGAUUUCUCGGCUGCUGGAGGCGGAGGGCUCCCCCUUUUAAUUAAGGGGUCUGAGGACGAUUCUGGAUAAUACUGCGAUUCGACCCGUCUUGAAACACGGACCAAGAAGUCUAGCGUGUCUGCGAGUCAAAGGGUGUGAAAACCUGUGGGCGCAGUGAAAGCGAACUUCCAUAUUAGAAAAAAAACGUUGCAGUUUGAGGCGGCAUACGAUCGUUGAUUGUAGGUCUGACCUUGAGCAGAUAUGCUAGGACCCGAAAGAUGGUGAACUAUGCUUGAGUAGGGUGAAGCCAGGAGAAAUCCUGGUGGAAGCUCGUAGCGGUGCUGACGUGCAAAUCGCUCGUCUAACUUGAGUAUAGGGGCGAAAGACUAAUCGAACCAUCUGGUAGCUGGUUUUCUCCGAAGUUUCUCUCAGGAUAGCGGACCGAUAUAUGAUGUUGUUGUGUGCGGUAAAGCGAAUGAUUAGCGUAUUUUUGGGGGAAUUUAUUCCUUCGGACGAUUCUCAAACUUUAAAUGCGCACGGAUGUUGCUGCUUCGGUGAGCGACUGUCGGGAAAAACAUCGGUUCCGUGGGCCAAUU